UUGAAUAUCUAUACCAAAAACAUUACCAACAAUGGAACUUGGUCCAUCUGUACAACCCAAUGAUGUUCUUAGUAUUGAGGUAUUGAUUCAACCUAAACUAAUACCAUUAUCUGAGAAGUUCCAAGAGCCAUCUUAUAUAUUAUAGGAUCUUCUCAUAGACGAAUAUUUCAAAAAAAUUUAUUUAGCUAUUUCACAUCCAAAUUUUAUAAAAAAAGAUAUAUUAUCUUAAGGAGUUAAGUUGAAAUCCAUGAAGAAGAAGAAGAUCUUGGGAAUCACUACCAAUAUGGAACCAUAUGAUAUUUUAAAAGAUUUGGAUGCAAUUCACCCCUCUAUUAUAAUGAAGCAACUUUUGGUGGUAGCCCCGGAAUGUUG
rnacentral:lncRNA from 1 species